rnacentral:rRNA from 1 species
AUGGAACUAACAGUUGAUGAUAGAGAUGUUUUGAAUGAAAAGUUACGAGGGUCACGCGUGCAGCGCCGCAAAAGCAUGUCCGAGAUUCAGAAGGGGCAGUCAAGUGCUCAAAGGAAGGCCUCUUAUGCUAAAAGGAAAAACACCCCGUGCAAAGAAUCUCUCGCACUCCCACGUCCAGACAUUACCAUGUCAACUUCUGAUAGUCUCGUAGUCCCCCUCUCUCGAGCUGGCGAUGAUGAUUCAUCGGAUGGCGACCCUCCCGCGGUCAUGCCGAAUUACGGUGUUUGCACCAAUGACGACAUCGAUGUGUUCCUAGAGCCCAUCAUGGGCGAUGAGCCGACACCAGCCGAAUUGAUGGAUGAAGAGUACUACAUGUAUCGCGACCAAGGAUCCGAUAAUGACACAUUCUAG